AAUUAAUUAAUUAUUUUUUUUUAUUUGUUUAAAUUUAUUAAAAUAAGAAAAUUUAUUUUUAUUAAUUUUAGGAAAAAAUUAUUUUUAUUAUAGUUAAUUUUUAUUGUAAGAUAUUUUAUAUUUUUAUUGAAAAGAAGAAUUUAUUUUUUUUACCUUGUGUAUCAGGGUUUAUUAAAAAUUAUUAAAAAUUUAAUUUUCUCGAAUUUAAAAGAGUUAAAAAAAUAUUAUUUUAUUGUAGAAUAAAUAUAUAAAAUAUUUUUUUAGUAAUGAAAUGUUAUUCGUUUUUAAAUAUAUCUAGUUUUUUAAGAAAAAAAUUUAAUUUUUUUUUUAUUAAUAAUUUUAUUUUAUUUUAAUUUAUUAUUAAUAAUGUAAAAAAUUUAAAGGGAUAAGCUUUUAAAUUAAUAAUUAAAAAUAAUUUAUUUAUUUUAAAUAUUUAUAGAAUUUAAAGUUUUUAUUUUUAAAAUAAUGUUUUAAUUGAUUUUAAUUUUAAAAUUAUUUAUUUUUAUUUUAAGUAAUUUAUUAAAAUAAAAAUUUUAAUAUUAAAGAUUUGGAAAUUAUGAUAAAAUUAGUAUACUAAUUUAUAUUAAUUAAAUUAUUAAAUUUUUAGGUUAAAUAAAGGAAUUCGGCAAAUUAAUUUUUCACCUGUUUAUUAAAAACAUGUCCUUAUGAUUUUAAUUUAAGGUCCAACCUGCCCACUGAAAUUUUAAAUGGCCGCAGUAUUUUGACUGUGCAAAGGUAGCAUAAUCAUUAGUUUUUUAAUUGAAAGCUGGAAUGAAAGGUUAGAUGAGAAAAUAACUGUCUCUAUUUAAUUUUUAUUAAAAUUUUAUUUUUAAGUUAAAAAGCUUAAAUUUUUUUAAAAGACGAGAAGACCCUAUAGAGUUUAAUUUAAUUUUAAAUUUUAAAUUUUUAUUAUUAUAAAUUAAAAUUUUUAAUUAAAUUUUAUUGGGGUGAUAGAAAAAUUAAUUUAACUUUUUUUAUUUUUAAACCAUUAAUUUAUGAAUUUUUGAUCCAUUAGUUAUGAUUAUAAGAUUAAAUUACCUUAGGGAUAACAGCGUAAUUUUUUUUUAGAGUUCUUAUUAAAAAAGAAGAUUGCGACCUCGAUGUUGGAUUAAAAGUUAAUUUUUGGUGUAGUAGCUAAAAAUAUGGGUCUGUUCGACCUUUAAAAUUUUACAUGAUCUGAGUUUAAACCGGUGUAAGCCAGGUUGGUUUCUAUCUUUAAAAUAAAAAUUUAUUUUAGUACGAAAGGAACAAGUAAGUUAAAUAAUUUAUUAAAAAGAAUAUU
rnacentral:rRNA from 1 species